UCAAGUGCAGACAACUUUUUCUUGUUGUCUAGAGCCAUUGCUUCCAGAGCUUAUGAGGAGCUAUAAAAGAGGUCAGGACACCUGGGUCUAGUCUCAGCUCUACCACGAACUAGCAAUGUGGCCAAGCACCAAGCCUUUCUGGUCUUAGCUUUCUCAUUUAUAAAAUGAAGAAGCCAAAGUUAACUGGAUUUCUAGCCCCUGCCAACUCUCAUAUCUCUAACAAGUCAUGAUUUAAAGCUUCAAGCAUAUGAUUAUGAGAUGGUGGUUCUCAACAUUUACCACAACCUCCCAGCAAACCACACAGCAGUCAACUCUCAAGAUUUCUUCCAGGAGGGUAAAGGGAUUUUUCUCUUCACAUGCCAUCCAACUCCAUGGGAAAACAUUAGCAGUGACAAAUGACUCUGGAUGAAUGCUUGAAUCCGAGGUCAUAGAUAUAAAUUACAAUUCUGGCCCUCAUUCACCCUCACAUAGCUUUCUGGCAUCCUUUCCCAUUCUCUGAACAUGAGAGGAAUGAGAAGGUUAUUUGGAAGGUCGCUGAUCUUAGGAGUUGUCCUGCUACAGUUACCGGAGAAUCUUGAAUUUCAUCUGAAAAGACUGCAAGGCAGUCGGGGCAAGCAUGCUAUGAGAAGUCAACUGAGGAAAAGACAGUGAGAGAGCAAGAGCAGAUUGAGAAGCAGAAGAGUGAGUCGCAAAAAGAGAAAAUGACAGAAAUGGAGCACCCUGGUAUCAUAAAAUAUGCUUGAACUUGGGUUAAUUCCUCUUGGACUGAAUUGUAGUGCCAUAAACCAAGCUUUUCAAAAAGAUUGGAUGCAAAACUAUUAUGGCAACAGGAAUUUUUAUCAACAUAAAGCAGGAUUUAAUGCAGGGUGAAGGAUUUCUACUGUAAAUGCUUCAAAUCAUCAUCAUGGGGGAGAAGAGCACAGCAGUAUUUCCUUCCAAAAUGUAAGCAGCACAACCUUCCAAGAACCUUGAUGUGUAGUUAAAACGACCAUGAAGGGAGCCUCCCCUGAUCUCUGUCCUCCAAUUUAUUGCUCUCUCUCAUGUUUGAAAGGUUUGUUUUGGAUCCAGUGACAAUAAUACUGGUAGGACUAUAACUAAAGUACUUUGAGUCCUAGGAGGAGGAACAAAGAAUGUUUUUCUAUAAUAUGUUAACAUAACUGGACAUCCAUUAAAUAAUUGGUGUGUAGCUGGAAGUAAAAAUGGCUUAAACAGAGAAAAGUUUCUAUAACAGCUGUGAACACAAAGCCAACAAAGGACUUGAGGGACAAACACUUCUAAUAUGCUCGCAGAAUCACCUGAUGUCAUGAGCACCUGCUUUAUACAAAAACCACUGUGGCAGAAGCAUCUAUGUGUAUACUUAGGGUAACAAACAUUCCAUUUCAAUUUUGAAUUUAAAUAAAAGAUGCUCUAGUCUGUUUUUUUCUUCCAAUCUCAGGCUCAGGCUCUGCAGACAUCUCUUUGAAUCUCCCAAAAGAUCAUGUUUGCUUUGGUCGAAGAUUAGAUAUUCACCCCAGUGUUCACAUACUUUGUCCUCCCAAGCUGGAACAACUUGAGCUUUCAGAGUCCAAAUGUGUUAGACUCAUCCAGGGCUCUUGAAGUCAGUAUUCAAAUGCUAGCACUAUAAAUUAUAGAAUUUAGUUUGUCACAAAUUAAAACUUUAUUUCAGUGAAAACAGUGACUGUCACUUGUAUAUAUUUGGUCACUGUAAAUCUGCUGUAAACCAAAAGAGAAACUAAAACUAGCAAAGGGUGGUGAUGGUGGCAGCGGUAGUGGCAGAGGGACAUGCUAAUGUAUGUCUUGAAGUCUGUUUUCCUAGAAUCCCAAGCUACAUUGGUUGGUAAUAAAUAAUGUGGUUAAAGAAGGCAGAUUCUAAGAUAGAAUUUUGGACCUGGAUCACCUGUAGCCUGCCUAGCAAUGAAGACCUCAUCAGUGGUGAUAGAUGGAGAACAGAUACACCUUGGAACCAGGUAGUGAUCUAACUUAACAUUUUUCACUAAUGUUACGCUAAGAUGGAAUACUAAUGAAAUGCAAUGCACUGAUGGGUAACAUGUAUAAGGUGGUUGAGAAACAAUAUAGGGUGUCCAGAGAUAAGAGCAAUCAGCUAAGGGAGGAAUGGGACUAGAUAAUGAAGAAGCUGCAGGGCCUAACCAACUUGUAAGGGCAGGGGUCAUGAGAGUAUAAAUGGGACAGAAUUCUGAAGGUGCUAGAUUCAGAAAACAGAGAAGAACAGAAAGUUAGACAAGAAAGAGUUUAUCAAGUUGGAAAUACUCUCCCAGUGGAGGAUUUUACAUCCUGACAAAGAUCCUCGAAGAUAUCCAAAACAGGUUUUGAGGAUGGCUCCUGGAAGCUUGAAGAAAGCAAUGGCCACAUCAAAUGAAGUAGGAAAGAUACAUUGGGUGCAAGGCUAUCAUUACCAUAACAUUCUCUGGCCUUAGCAUUUACCUACUUCUCAUCUAGAAAAUGCCACCGUUAUUUUAAAAUACAAAGUCAGAAGUUAAAAAUAACUCAAUAUCUUAAUCUCUGGAGUUUAUACCUAGUUAUGAAUUCACUGCUAAGCAACGUGUGAUAAAAUACUAGUCUUUAGUGUUUAAAUCUCCAUCCUAGUCCAACAUGCAUUCAUUAUUAUUAUUAUGUUUUUGAGACGGAGUCUUGCU
rnacentral:lncRNA from 1 species